ACGGAAGGCAGCAGUGGGGAAUAUUGCACAAUGGGGGAAACCCUGAUGCAGCGACGCCGCGUGAGUGAAGAAGUAUUUCGGUAUGUAAAGCUCUAUCAGCAGGGAAGAAAAUGACGGUACCUGACUAAGAAGCCCCGGCUAACUACGUGCCAGCAGCCGCGGUAAUACGUAGGGGGCAAGCGUUAUCCGGAUUUACUGGGUGUAAAGGGAGCGUAGGCGGCACGGCAAGCCAGAAGUGAAAACCCGAGGCUCAACUUCGGGAUUGCUUUUGGAACUGUCGAGCUAGAUUGCGGGAGAGGUAAGUGGAAUUCCUAGUGUAGCGGUGAAAUGCGUAGAUAUUAGGAGGAACACCAGUGGCGAAGGCGGCUUACUGGACCGUAAAUGACGCUGAGGCUCGAAAGCGUGGGGAGCAAACAGGAUUAGAUACCCUGGUA
rnacentral:rRNA from 1 species